AACGCGCGCUAUGUUCUCGCGAUAUUUAAAGAUGAACGUAUCGCACGUAGCCAGAGUGGAAAUGCGAUCUAGCUUGGUAACGCCUUUCAUUUGAAUUACUGUCUAUUUUUGAAAAGAAGCUUUGAAAACGCCGCGAAAUCCAUUCAUAAGCAAUCUUAAAGUGCAGUUCUGGCUGGAAAAGCAUCGAUUCCAUUUCCUUAACUCUAAGCAAUCACCAUGAUGGAAGUAGCAGACAAUGUUCCACCAGGCUGUCAAUUGUCCUGCUCAUUUUAUGGGUGCAAGAGGACCUACAACAGUCCAGAAGCACUGAAUAGUCAUCUUCAGGACCAUCAAAAGAACACUGCUCAGUCUCUUCCAGGGAAAGCUUUCCUGUGCUCUCAAAUAGGAUGCGAUGGUUCAUUCAACAACAUGCAGCAGCUCAUGGAACAUAUGAGACACCAUCACAAGCCAAAUUAUUUUUUCCUGUGCGAGAGCUGCAGGGCCAAACUGCGUUCUUACCGCACUCUCCUCAAACACCUGCAGACCUGUGCUAAGGUUGCUAAGAAUAAGGCUGCAGUAAAGACAGAGCCUGGAAUGGCACCUGACGCAGAGCCCACCGGUGUCCCUCUCACUUCUGGUGACAUGGAACCAUCUGGUCCCCUCUUAGCCCCAAAUAUAACUGAGGAGAUGGAGUCUAUGCCAUCUAUGCCCUCUUUAGCAACACCAGCAAACAUGCCAGUAACCCAGCGGCCCCCAGAAAACAGUGCUUUCAUGAACCCGACCCCUGCAGGCCCUGCAUCUCUGCUCCUUGCCACUCUAAGUUCUGCCUCAACCCAAAAUCUUCCUUGCAAACCAGAAUCCCCCUACAGCCCCUUUCCACCUACUCUGUCUCCUGUUAACCCAGCUAUCCUGCCAGAUCCCGGGCAACAGCAGCAGCAGAGGUCUCCCAGGUCUGGUCCUCCCAGUCUGCCCUCUUCACCGCCCCUGCCGUCAUCGCCAGGAUCAAACGCAGUCUGGAGGAAGAACCAAGACCCGCCCGGGCCCCUUUUGCACAGAUGGAACUCUCCAAGCAGUCAGAGUUUAAGUAGAGAUGAAGUCCAGCUCAGUCCUUCAACUGCCGCAUCCUGUGGGAACACACAAGAGGGCGAUACAGCUGCCUACAGUGUGGCCACUGCACCCCAGACCGGGGGGAGAUGACCGCUCACAUUGAAGGCCAGCACAAGAACCCAGGUGGCAAAGUGAAUGGUGAUCAUGAUACAGAGAUUGGCACUGCUUCUUUACUGGCUAAGACUUCACUGCACACUGAGAACUCAACUUAUACACAGCUCUAGCAUGAAAUGAGAUGCGAAACCUGCUGAUUGACAAAGAGCUUUUGUUGUAGCUUUUUGACUCAAUGUUUUCAUUUGACUGUCAGUGUGGACUUCAACAAUCUCUAUGGUCUGGAUCUAAUCACUAUCACAAUUAGCAUGAAGUUCUGCAUGCCUUGUCUUCAGAAAGCAUUUGCCAGUCAUCUAGGCUUAGAAAAAGACUUGUUAGGUUUCAUUAUAUAAUUUGGAAUUGCAUAUAAAUAACCUGAGUAAUGUAAUAUUAUGUCACCUACAUUUUUAAAAAAAUAUAUUUUUGCAGGAGGCUGUAUCUCCAGAACAGUAUUCAUGUUUAAAAAAAUAAAUCUUGGCCACUUGUUAUUGUUUCUGUAGUGUUUACUACCUGCAAAUAAAGCCUGUUAGAAAAAAUGAAAAA